rnacentral:rRNA from 1 species
ACYGACGCUGRGGCYUCGAAAGSGKKGGGRRGCAACCAGGAUUAGAUACCCUGUUAKUCMCGCCGUAAACGAUGAAUACUAGGUKGUAGGGGGUUKUCAUGACCUUCUGKGCSSCCGCUAACGCAUUAAGUAUUCSSCUGGGGARGUACGGUCSCAAGAUUAAACUCAAAGGAAUUGACGGGGCCCSCACAAGCAGCGGAGCAUGKGUUAAUUCGAAGCAACGCGAAGACCUUACCUAGACUUGACAUCUCUGCAUUACUCUUAAUAGAGGAAGUCCCUUUCGGGGACAGGAUGACAGGUGGUGCAUGGUUGUCGUCAGCUCGUGUCGUGAGAUGUUGGGUUAAGUCCCGCAACGAGCGCAACCCCUAUUGUUAGUUGCCAGCAUUCAGUUGGGCACUCUAAUGAGACUGCCGGUGACAAACCGGAGGAAGGUGGGGAUGACGUCAAAUCAUCAUGCCCCUUAUGACCUGGGCUACACACGUGCUACAAUGGAUGGUACAACGAGCAGCAAGACCGCGAGGUCAAGCGAAUCUCUUAAAGCCAUUCUCAGUUCGGAUUGCAGGCUGCAACUCGCCUGCAUGAAGCCGGAAUCGCUAGUAAUCGCGGAUCAGCACGCCGCGGUGAAUACGUUCCCGGGUCUUGUACACACCGCCCGUCACACCACGAGAGUUUGUAACACCCGAAGUCGGUGAGGUAACCUUUUUGGAGCCAGCCGCCUAAGGUGGGACAGAUGAUUGGGGUGAAGUCGUAACAAGGUAACC